CAGUCGCCGCGGUAAAACGUAUGUCACAAGCGUUAUCCGGAUUUAUUGGGCGUAAAGCGCGUCUAGGCGGUUAAUUAAGUCUGAUGUGAAAAUGCGGAGCUCAACUCCGUAUUGCGUUGGAAACUGGUUAACUAGAGUACUGGAGAGGUAAGCGGAACUACAAGUGUAGAGGUGAAAUUCGUAGAUAUUUGUAGGAAUGCCGAUGGGGAAGCCAGCUUACUGGACAGAUACUGACGCUAAAGCGCGAAAGCGUGGGUAGCAAACAGGAUUAGAUACCCGCGUAGUCCCUGUCUCUUAUACA
rnacentral:rRNA from 1 species